GUGGGAAGAUAGAAAGUGAAAGAUAGAAAGUGAAAAAAUAACCUUCUGGUAUGUCAGAACAGAACCUUAUUUGGAGUUAGGUUUUUGCUGAUGUAAUUAGUUAAGAUGAAUUCAUAUCAAAGAUGGAGAGGGUGAGUGUUACUCCUGUGCUUCUUAUGCCCUUACUACAAAAAAAUUAAAAUAAAAAGGAAAAAGAGAUAUGAAGACGUGCUGAGGCACGGAGAUGUGAAAACACAAGGGAAAAUGGCAGGUGCCAAUGAAGGGUCUGGAACAGAUCCUUCCUCGUGGCUCUUAAAAGGAAACCUCAGCCUCCAACUUCUAGUCUCAGAGCUGACAGAAAACAAAUUUCUGAGCCAGGCGCCAGUGGCUCAUACCUGGAAUUCUACCUCUUUAAGGGGCUGAAGAGCUUGAUUCAAAGCCAUGAUGGACAGGAAUAGCCACAAGACUCCCAUCUUCUCCAUCUCCAACUAUGCAGAAACAUAUCAUGCUAGAGGCACAGCUUACAUAGUAGCAACCCAGCUGUGAGUGAAAAGGCUGAAUGAAACAAAAUUAAAAAGAAAUGACCGGGAAAAAAAGAAAUUGAAAUUCUAUUAUUUAAGCCAUCUAAUGUGUGGUACUUUUUAAUGGCAGCCUUGUCAAUCAAAACAAGCCCCUCCUUGUUCACAUGGCCAUGUGAGUUAAGCAUGUUGAUUAAUUCUCCCAUCUACUCUAUAGGUUGAGUCUUGGCCUGUCCAUUCAUAUGGUGAGAAAACUGAGUUUGAAAAGAUUAGGCAGUCUUCUCUUACACUACAAAAAUAAGGCAGAAACCUGGGCAUGUCUGAAAGAUUAAUACCCUCCUGUACUGCAUUCUUUGACGGCUUUGACUUACCGUUUCCUGAAUCUAGCUACAGGUGGUCCAACACCCAUGAAAUAACUCAUUUUACAUUUAAAUAAAUUAGACUGUGUAGUUAUGUCUUUCUUGUACCAUUUCAGUUAAAGAUUAAUGCCUAGCAGACAUGUUUUAUUUGGCCUUGCAUUCAAAGCUAAUUCAGUGAUUUAAUGAUCUAUAAAUACUUUCCUUUAGAAUAUGGUGUUGUGAGCAUGUGCCUCUCUAUGCACAUAUAUGUAUAGAUACAUACGGUUAGGCCAUUUUACCUUUCAGUGCUGUGUAAAAUCUGCUGUACUAUUCACUUAGCCCUCCCUUGCCUUCACAUACACAGACUGGCACUUGUCUUGCUCCACAGACGUCUACUUGUGCGAAGUCAUUUUUCCAUUAGAACAGACAAUUCUUUAUUAAUGAAAGAGUCUGGAUAUUUAUAGAACCUCACCUUUGUCACAGUAGUUUCAAUGUUCUCUCUUCCUCAGAGUGUGAGAAGUUGACUUCUAAAAAUACAAGUCACACUGCCAUCCUGAGAACAAGGUUGGCCAAAAAAGAAAAAAGUCCUUAUGAGAAGAUGCUCAAUGGUUUUGUUUGCUCAACUGGUGUAAAGAAAAUUUCAGUGGACAGAAAUGAUUCCCAAAUGAGAAAGCCUUCAUAGACAUGUUCUAAAUCUGGCCUGACUUUAAUCAAGCAAUGCCAUCUGUCUGUUGAGUGGCAAGGUCACAACUUUCAUAAUAGGAAGAGCCUCCAAUGCUAAGAUGAAUAUACAGAAGUCCAAAUACAGCCUGCACCACCAUGCCUAUCUGCAUUCUAGGAGGCAUAUUUGGAUGUCCUGUGAUUUAGGUAUGGCCUGAUAAAUUUGUAAUAUAAAAUAUCUUAGGUGAAAAAUGCAUUUAAGCUACCAGAAUGGCUUAGUUGAGCAAAACUGUGUUAUAAACUACCACUUAUUUUCCUCAAGAUUACAUACCUACUGGGGGCUGCGCUUAUUGCUUCUGCCCAGUCCUAAUUUAGGUAUGUAUAUUCUUACCCUGAGAAUUGGUUAAAAAUUUAAAAUUCAAAGUUUAGUCCUAUCGACUGAACGCAAAUUGCUUUUAUGGCACUGCAAAGUUAAAAAAAAAGUUGUUGAGGCUUGAUGAUUAGUUAGCUUCCUGUAUGAUCCAUAGGGGACAUUUGCGUCGGCAUAGUCCUGCAGGGCCUACGUCACUUCCCUUUGUUGGAUCUCAGUUUCUCCUUGGAAAAUGGGUCACCAAUUUCUAUGUUUUAUAUUUGCAGUGAGUUUCAAAUGAGGUCUUACUCAUGAAAAUAUAUUUUUGGGUUACAGAGUCAAAUGUAAGCAGAACACACAUGUUUGUAGUGGUGACUAUUGACUUCUAGAAUAAUAAAAAUGACUUUGAAGUAGUUUUGAGUACUUAUUUUGUAUCAAGCACAUUGCCAACCUCUUUACUAGCAUUAGCUAGUUUCAGCUUGUAACAAUAUUCUCAAUGAUGUACUCUACUGUUGCUAUUUUGCAGAAGAGGUGAUUAAUGCACUAAAAGCUCCUGUGAGUUGUCUAGGUGAUCUAACUAGUAAGUUCCAGGCAGGACGUUUCAAACCUGGAUGGGCUCCCUCCAGAGCCUCUAUUCUUACCAAUUUCUAUCUUACUCCUGUUUCCUU